rnacentral:lncRNA from 1 species
UUUUAGCCUGUUUGUUGUACUCAUUCACUGCAAAUUUCCCGAUCUCGACCACUUGAGGGUCCUUUGUGUCAGUUAUAGGGCUCCAACCACCUGGUAAACCACCACCGCCACCCAGUGCGGCGGAGGCGUGGAAGAAAAGGGAGGCGACCACCACGACUGAAAGAGUCACGGCAAGGGUACAGUUUUUGAGGGCCAUUUUUGUGUGUGCGUGUGUGAGGGAGUUUGAGAAUUUAAUGCAGGGAAAAUAUAGGUGUGGGUAGUUAUGAAAAUAAGUGGUGGUGUUGUUGGAGUAAUUAAUGAGAUCUCGGCACACGAGGGAGGCGACCACCACGGCUGAGAGAGUCAAGGCGAGGAUACAGUUGAAUUUGAGGGCCAUUUUUGUGUGUUUGUGAGGGAGUUUGAGAAUUUAAUGUAGGGAAAAUAUAGGUGUGGG